CGGGUGUAGUUCAAUGGUAGAACACCAGCCUUCCAAGCUGGAUACGUGGGUUCGAUUCC
rnacentral:tRNA from 1 species